CACGUAGGUGGGUCGUUAAGUUGAGGGUGAAAUCCCAGGGCUCAACCCUGGAACUGCCUUCAAUACUGGCGACCUUCGAGUCCGGGAGAGGUGAGUGGAACUGCGAGUGUAGAGGUGAAAUUCGUAGAUAUUCGCAAGAACACCAGUGGCGAAGGCGGCUCACUGGCCCGGUACUGACACUGAGGUGCGAAAGCGUGGGGAGCAAACA
rnacentral:rRNA from 1 species